AGAACACUUAACCUUGCAUAUUUCUCGUUUGAUGAAACAACGUUGAUGUCCAACGCAACCUUAUCAGGCACCUUAGUUCCUGAUAGUAGUAUGCUACCAUUGUGGAGCAGGACUAAUAAUCAAGUGGGGCCAAAUUUUUCGUAGAUAAUAUAAAACCAGCAUUAUAACCAGACUAACCGCAUGUUUGUGGAAGCUAACUACUAGUACUUGAUGGAUAGAUUAUAGACGGGCC
rnacentral:lncRNA from 7 species